UCCGGCUUGUCGCCGGCGGUCCCUCUAGAGUGCCCAACUGAAUGAUGGCAACUAAAGGCGAGGGUUGCGCUCGUUGCGGGACUUAACCCAACAUCUCACGACACGAGCUGACGACAGCCAUGCAGCACCUGUGUUCCCGUUCCCUUUCGGGCACAGCCCCAUCUCUGGGGCCUCCAGGACAUGUCAAGGGUAGGUAAGGUUCUUCGCGUUGCAUCGAAUUGAGCCACAUACUCCACCGCUUGUGCAGGCCCCCGUCAAUUUCUUUGAGUUUUAAUCUUGCGGCCGUACUCCCCAGGCGGAAUGCUUAAUGCGUUAGCUGCGCCACUGAACAGCAAGCUGCCCAACGGCUAGCAUUCAUCGUUUACGGCGUGGACUAC
rnacentral:misc_RNA from 1 species